rfam:Zootermopsis nevadensis contig20676, whole genome shotgun sequence.
GCCACGGUGGUCUAGCGGUUAGAACGCUGGCCUUGUAAUCCUGGGGUCUCGGGUUCGAUUCCCGGCGGUGCCG